UACGUAGGUGACAAGCGUUGUCCGGAAUUACUGGGCGUAAAGCGCGCGUAGGCGGCUUUGCAAGUCGAGUGUGAAAUCCCCAGGCUUAACCUGGGAACUGCAUUCGAGACUGCAUAGCUAGAGUAUGGGAGAGGGAAGUGGAAUUCCUGGUGUAGCGGUGAAAUGCGCAGAUAUCAGGAGGAACACCGAUGGCGAAGGCAGGUCUCUGGGCAUUAACUGACGCUGAGGAGCGAAAGCAUGGGGAGCGAACAGG
rnacentral:rRNA from 1 species